rnacentral:lncRNA from 1 species
AGGCUUCCUUUGGAAGUUCGAGCCCAGUUGGGUCUUUGUCUUCUGAGGAUCAUGAUUUUGACCCCACUGCUGAGAUGCUGGUCCAUGACUAUGAUGAUGAAAGAACUCUAGAGGAAGAGGAAUUGAUGGGUGACGGCAAAAACUUCAGUUCUGAAAUUGAAGACCUGGAAAAGGAAGGAAAUAUGCCUCUAGAAGAUCUGUUGGCAUUCUACGGCUAUGAAUCUACAAUUCCAACGGUUGCAAAUUCCAGUGCAAACAGCUCCCCAAGUGAACUUGCAGACGAACUACCAGAUAUGACUCUAGACAAAGAAGAAAUAGCAAAAGACCUGUUGUCGGGCGAUGAUGAGGAAACCCAGUCUUCUGCAGAUGACCUGACACCGUCUG